rnacentral:rRNA from 1 species
GAGGCCCUAUGGGAGGCAGCAGUAGGGAAUCUUCCACAAUGGACGAAAGUCUGAUGGAGCAACGCCGCGUGAGUGAAGAAGGGUUUCGGCUCGUAAAGCUCUGUUGGUAGUGAAGAAAGAUAGAGGUAGUAACUGGCCUUUAUUUGACGGUAAUUACUUAGAAAGUCACGGCUAACUACGUGCCAGCAGCCGCAGUAAUACGUAGGUGGCAAGCGUUGUCCGGAUUUAUUGGGCGUAAAGCGAGUGCAGGCGGCUCAAUAAGGCU